GGGGGUGUAGCUCACUUGGGAGAGCGCUUGACUGGCAGUCAAGAGGUAAGGGGUUCGAUCCCCCUCAUCUCCACCA
rnacentral:tRNA from 1 species